UGAAGACAAGGUUACCUUGCUCUAACUGCACAAACCACCUGUGCAGGGGGAAUAACAAAGUCGGUAACCAGGCACAGAAGAACAGAGACCGCUGCUAAUAGCAAAAUCUCUGUAUAAUCUUGGACAAAGCAGUCACACCCCUGCGCCUCCCAGCUCUUCUCGCAGUCGCCGGCGGAGUGAGAGGACCAACAGCAGCAGCACCAGGCACACAGCCCCCAGGGCCACCACAGCUAGCCACACGAGUCCCAGGUUUUCCAAGGGAGCCCGUGCCUCCAGGGUCACCGACGAGCCGGCCAUGACAGCAACAAGGAACUUGUGAGAGCUACGUGAGGAGGUUCUGAGCUGGCCAAUCACAAGAGCCCAACUAUGGAAGGCAGAGAGACAGGUUGCGAGACAGACAGUGGUGCAGGGCAGAGAACA